rnacentral:tRNA from 1 species
GGCGGCCGCCGGUUUGGCCUGCUUGGGCGCGGCCGGUUUGAUUGGUUCCCAUGUCGACGCGGGCGGCGUGCUGCGCGAGCCCUUCGCGCUGAUCGCCG